rnacentral:rRNA from 1 species
GUGGGGAAUCUUGCGCAAUGGGCGAAAGCCUGACGCAGCAACGCCGCGUGCGGGAAGAAGGCCUUCGGGUUGUAAACCGCUUUCAGCAGGAACGAAAAUGACGGUACCUGCAGAAGAAGGUGCGGCCAACUACGUGCCAGCAGCCGCGGUGACACGUAGGCACCAAGCGUUGUCCGGAUUUAUUGGGCGUAAAGAGCUCGUAGGCGGUUCAGUAAGUCGGGUGUGAAAACUCUGGGCCCAACCCAGAACCUGCAUCCGAAACUGCUGUGACUUGAGUUCGGUAGGGGAGCGGGGAAUUCCUGGUGUAGCGGUGAAAUGCGCAGAUAUCAGGAGGAACACCGGUGGCGAAGGCGCCGCUCUGGGCCGACACUGACGCUGAGGAGCGAAAGCGUGGGUAGCAAACAGGAUUAGAUACCCCGGUAGUCC